GACGAACGCUGGCGGCGUGCUUAACACAUGCCAGUCGAACGGAAAGGCCCUGCUUUUGUGGGGUGCUCGAGUGGCGAACGGGUGAGUAACACGUGAGUAACCUGCCCUUGACUUUGGGAUAACUUCAGGAAACUGGGGCUAAUACCGGAGAGGAGCUCCUGCUGCAUGGUGGGGGUUGGAAAGUUUCGGCGGUUGGGGAUGGACUCGCGGCUUAUCAGCUUGAUGGGGGGGUAGCGGCUUACCAAGGCUUUGACGGGUAGCCGGCCUGGGAGGGUGACCGGCCACAUUGGGACUGCGGUACGGCCCAGACUCCUACGGGACGCAGCAGUGGGGAAUAUUGCACAAUGGGCGGAAGCCUGAUGCAGCAACGCCGCGUGCGGGAUGACGGCCUUCGGGUUGUAAACCGCUUUCGCCUGUGACGAAGCGUGAGUGACGGUAAUGGGUAAAGAAGCACCGGCUAACUACGUG
rnacentral:rRNA from 1 species